rnacentral:rRNA from 1 species
UACGUAGGGGGCAAGCGUUGUCCGGAUUUAUUGGGCGUAAAGAGCGUGUAGGCGGCUUUACAGGUCCGUUGUGAAAACUCGAGGCUCAACCUCGAGACGCCGGUGGAAACCGUAAAGCUAGAGUCCGGAAGAGGCGAGUGGAAUUCCCGGUGUAGCGGUGAAAUGCGCAGAUAUCGGGAGGAACACCAAUGGCGAAGGCAGCUCGCUGGGACGGUACUGACGCUGAGGCGCGAAAGCGUGGGGAGCAAACAGG